AUGAUUGGUAACAUUAGCUGUAGAUUAAAAACUCUUAAGUGCAUAAUUCAAUCAAUACGAGAGGAAAAAAUAGUUCAUGCUCAAUUAAUAAAACUCUAAUGUCUACAACAAACGAUCUAAUAUGCAGUUUAAAAACUAUUUCAUAAUCAAAUUAAUAUGACAUGAACAUAAAAGAAAACCAGACCAGUUGAACUUGUGUAAUAUUAAGCGUAACAUAUUAUUGGUUUUCUUUUAAUCCAUGGAACUAGUGUUCAUAAUCAAAUUUCAUUGUAUAUCAAUAAUAUAAAAGAAGACGAAG
rnacentral:lncRNA from 1 species